rnacentral:rRNA from 1 species
GACGAACCGUGCGAACGUUGUUCGGAAUCACUGGGCUUAAAGGGCGCGUAGGCGGGCUAUCAAGUCCGGGGUGAAAUCCUCCCGCUCAACGGGAGAACGGCCUCGGAUACUGAUGGUCUCGAGGAGGAUAGGGGCACACGGAACUGUGGGUGGAGCGGUGAAAUGCGCAGAUAUCAGGAAGAACACCCGUGGCUAAGGCGGCUCUCUAGUACGGUACUGACGCUGAGACGCGAAAGCGUGGGGAGCGAACAGG